rnacentral:rRNA from 1 species
UGGGGAAUAUUGGACAAUGGGCGAAAGCCUGAUCCAGCCAUGCCGCGUGUGUGAAGAAGGCCUUUUGGUUGUAAAGCACCUUAAGCGAGGAGGAGGCUACUUAGAUUAAUACUCUAGGAUAGUGGACGUUACUCGCAGAAUAAGCACCGGCUAACUCUGUGCCAGCAGCCGCGGUAAUACAGAGGGUGCGAGCGUUAAUCGGAUUUACUGGGCGUAAAGCGUGCGUAGGCGGCUUUUUAAGUCGGAUGUGAAAUCCCUGAGCUUAACUUAGGAAUUGCAUUCGAUACUGGGAAGCUAGAGUAUGGGAGAGGAUGGUAGAAUUCCAGGUGUAGCGGUGAAAUGCGUAGAGAUCUGGAGGAAUACCGAUGGCGAAGGCAGCCAUCUGGCCUAAUACUGACGCUGAGGUACGAAAGCAUGGGGAGCAAACAGG